GUCCAUGGCCAUGCCACCUGGAACAUGCCCGAUCUCGUCUAUUUUCGGAAGAUAAGUGGAUAAGCGGGGUUGGGCCUGGUUAGUACUUGGAUGGGAGACCGCCUAGGAAUACCAGGUGCUGUAGGCA
ensembl:rRNA 5S_rRNA 5S ribosomal RNA